rnacentral:rRNA from 1 species
AUGAGCGCCGCCGGGAGGGAGAAACGAACAAGGGGUUCUUCUCCCGACUCUGCGACUCCCCAGUUCUCCUCGAUGGUGGAGAUCACGUCUGACAUUGGCAUCUAUCGACGGGGCAAGAAGAGCUUCUCGCUGGACAGGCAUAGCGGCGCCAAAAAGUACAUGCUACCGGCGAAAGCUCUGUGCUACGGGUGGAGUGGCUACCCCUACUGA